UACGUAGGGGGCAAGCGUUGUCCGGAAUUAUUGGGCGUAAAGAGCGUGUAGGCGGCCCGGUAAGUCUGUUGUGAAAGUCCAGGGCUCAACCCUGGAAUGCCGAUGGAUACUGCCGGGCUAGAGUUCGGAAGAGGCGAGUGAAAUUCCUGGUGUAGCGGUGGAAUGCGCAGAUAUCAGGAGGAACACCUAUAGCGAAGGCAGCUCGCUGGGACGACACUGACGCUGAGACGCGAAAGCGUGGGGAGCGAACAGG
rnacentral:rRNA from 1 species